GGGUUGUGAGGUUAAGCGACUAAGCGUACACGGUGGAUGCCCUGGCAGUCAGAGGCGAUGAAGGACGUGCUAAUCUGCGAUAAGCGCCGGUAAGGUGAUAUGAACCGUUAUAACCGGCGAUUUCCGAAUGGGGAAACCCAGUGUGACUCGUCACACUAUCAUUAACUGAAUCCAUAGGUUAAUGAGGCGAACCGGGGGAACUGAAACAUCUAAGUACCCCGAGGAAAAGAAAUCAACCGAGAUUCCCCCAGUAGCGGCGAGCGAACGGGGAGGAGCCCAGAGCCUGAAUCAGCAUGUGUGUUAGUGGAAGCGUCUGGAAAGGCGCGCGAUACAGGGUGACAGCCCCGUACACAAAAGCGCAUAUGCUGUGAGCUCGAUGAGUAGGGCGGGACACGUGGUAUCCUGUCUGAAUAUGGGGGGACCAUCCUCCAAGGCUAAAUACUCCUGACUGACCGAUAGUGAACCAGUACCGUGAGGGAAAGGCGAAAAGAACCCCGGCGAGGGGAGUGAAAAAGAACCUGAAACCGUGUACGUACAAGCAGUGGGAGCCCCACCACUAAGCCAGUGGUGAACUCCACAUACGCAUCCUUUGCUGAGGAUACGGUUAACGGAGCGAAAGCGACGUUCAACCGCAAAAGAAGCAGAGGGGGCUUAGUGGUGGGGUGACUGCGUACCUUUUGUAUAAUGGGUCAGCGACUUAUAUUCUGUAGCAAGGUUAACCGAAUAGGGGAGCCGGAGGGAAACC
rnacentral:rRNA from 1 species